CCACUUGUCCUUUCCUUCAUCGCAAUAAACCCAAUAAGGACGACUAUAGAAUCGAUAAGGAGGGCAUAAAAAAACUGACUAACCUCCACUCGCCUAAGAUUGGGCACCUUGUGCCCGAGAAUUGUCACCACUAUAAUGACGCCUGUUGCCUGGCUAAUAAGAAGCACUAGAAAUAGAGUAGGAACCCCCCUCCCCCACUUUUUUUUCUACCAAUUGCCACUAUUUUGACCAUCCUGAGACUGAGCACCUCCCUGAUCAGAAAAAUUGCUCAUCUUAUCCUGCCUAUCCCCAAACUCCUCCUACGUCUUCUUCUCAUCCUCCACUUAUUGCAUAUGAACAUCAACCUAGAGAUGUCCAUAUCUUUAAUUAGCAAAAUAGUCUUGUUAUCCAAAAUCAAAUCUCGAUUCAACCUAGAAACGAACUUCCUCAUUCUUUCCCACAUGUCGGCCACUAAAUCAGGAGCAUACAUUGAUAAUUGGUGAAACUUCAAGACAUAUUCCUUGACAUAUAUCCUCCCCUACUUGAUGUUCACAAACUCCUCCAUUUUUACUUCCCUCAACUCUUGGGGAAAGAACCGAUCUAACAAGGCAUUAGAAAAGGCCUCCCACAACCUUUCCUCUUCUAUAUCACCUCUGUCUCUAUCCCAUUCCUCAUAUCACUGCUAUGCGAUAUCUUUGAGCUAAUAAACUGCAAAGUUUACCCCCUCCACAUUAGUAGCCUGCAUUACCUAAAAUAUCUUUACCAUCUCAUCUAAGAAGCCUUAUUGAUCCCCAUUCACCUUCACUCCAGAAAAAGUGGCAGGACCCAUCUUCAUAAAUUGGCCAACCUUUGUGGCCUCAGUAGAUAAAACACCAGUCGCACCCCGUUCAGCAUGAGUAGAAACUAAUUUAGCAAUAACAUAACCAACAUAAUUUCAUAUUAGUCACCUCGCCUUGAGGAGGACUAGUAGAAAUCAGUGGAGCUCCAGAAUUAUCAGGGAUAGGACCGUGAGAUCGAAGAUAAACCCCAGAAGUAGGAUGCACCUCUUCAGCAUAACCCCCAGGUAGGAUAGAAGAAUUUUCUUAUGUUCCAGAUCUACAAGGCAUGAUCAUUAGUCGCCUCGCCUUGAGGAGGACUAGUAGAAAUCAGUGGAGCUCCAGAAUUAUCAGGGAUAGGACCGUGAGAUCGAAGAUAAACCCCAGAAGUAGGAUGCACCUCUUCAGCAUAACCCCCAGGUAGGAUAGAAGAAUUUUCUUAUGUUCCAGAUCUACAAGGCAUGAUUUGAAAAACGAACAAAGAAGGAUUAGAGAAGAUUCUAGGACUGAGAAUUCAAGCUUAAAGGUAGAAUACCAAGAAAGUAAAUCAUUCCUAAAUGCCUUAUAGCCUCUCCCUUAUGAGUAUGGUGUGCCACAUAUCCCUAAAAGAGACUCUUUUCUCGACAUGGCUUUGUGGACUCCCAAUUACCAUGAACCUAGGCUUUGAUACCAACUUGACACGACCCGCCCUGGGGCCUUAUCUUAAUGGGCAUCCCGAGUCUAACUAGGACCAGACACCACCCCCAUUACCCAACCCAACCUCCAGCCACCUGCCCUGAGUGGACUGAAUUUUGAGCAUAUAACAACAUAGUGUAACAACUCCCAAAAAGACUCUGGGAUAAGAUCACAACUAUGAUCAACCUAACUGAAUCCAACCAUCCUAUACCAAUAAUCCAACCAUACCAAACCAAGGACCAUAAACUAGGCCAUAACUAAAGAUGUUCCAAAACAUAAUAUAAUUAAUCCCAAAAUGAAAUAUGAUAGAACAGUGAGAAAUUAUGUCAGAUGAUGCCAACCGUCCAACCUAUUCUAAUGCCAAGGCUGACACCAAUACCGAUCUGGACCAUACCAACCCAUAAAAGUACCACAAAGUCUCUAUCCAAAAGAGUAAUGAAAUCUGGUUGGGACAUGCCCCUAACCAUAGCCAAAACUAAUAUCCAAAAUAACGUCAAAAUGUUUAAAAGUAUCCAUAACAUGAAAUAGAGCCUUCCAAAAGGAUAGAAGCUCACCACUUCAGUCCAAAUGCUAUCCUCGAAUCAAUCACUAUGUAGGAGGAGUAGAACGACUGAUUUCUAUAUAGCGUGGGUAUACAGCCACCAGUAGACGGGGUUAGCGAGUGACCACUAGUAUGAUCUCAGGAUAAGGAUAAAAUAAUGUCUUUUAUAAAACCAAGUAAGACCAUCCAUAAUGAAUACAAGCAUACACACACACACACAUAUAUAUACUAGCCGAGAAAAGGGGCCGGGUUUAGCAUGCCUUUAAAACCUUUACCCAGGCUAUGUAGCUUUGCUGUCCUAAACUACCCAUGGGCUAUAUGGAUUCAGCUCCCCUACUGAAAGGGCCCCAAUUCAUGUAGCCGCACGACCAGAGAAGUAUACCAUGGGAUGACUAGUACAUCCCAAAAAUAAAGUGUGACAUCAUGCACACGAUCACCAAGACCAACCUCAUAUCGAUAAAUAUGAGUUUCCAAUUUUGGUCCCACCGGA
rnacentral:lncRNA from 1 species